CACCGCGGUUAUACGAGAGACCCAAGUUGAUAACCCCCGGCGUAAAGCGUGGUUAUGGAAACCUGAAACUAAAGUCGAACACCCUCAAAGCUGUUAUACGCAUUCGAGGGCCCGAAGAACCACCACUAAAGUGACUUUAACACCAACCUGAGCCCACGAAAGCUAAGACA
rnacentral:rRNA from 1 species